rnacentral:tRNA from 1 species
GGCUCAAUGGUCUAGUGGUAUGAUUCUCGCUUUGGGUCUAAUUCUGAAUUGCGAGAGGCCCCGGGUUCGAAUCCCGGUUGAGCCC